CCUACGGGUGGCAGCAGUGAGGAAUAUUGGUCAAUGGGCGCGAGCCUGAACCAGCCAAGUAGCGUGAAGGAUGACUGCCCUACGGGUUGUAAACUUCUUUUAUAAAGGAAUAAAGUGAGGCACGUGUGCCUUUUUGUAUGUACUUUAUGAAUAAGGAUCGGCUAACUCCGUGCCAGCAGCCGCGGUAAUACGGAGGAUCCGAGCGUUAUCGGGAUUUAUUGGGUUUAAAGGGAGCGUAGAUGGGUUGUUAAGUCAGUUGUGAAAGUUUGCGGCUCAACCGUAAAAUUGCAAUUGAUACUGGCAGUCUUGAGAACAUUUGAGGUAGGCGGAAUUCGUGGUGUAGGGGUGAAAUGCUUAGAUAUCACGAAGAACUCCGAUAGCGAAGGCAGCUUACUAAGCUGCCACUGACAUUGAUGCUCGAAAGUGUGGGUAGCAAACAGGAUUAGAUACCCUUGUAGUC
rnacentral:rRNA from 1 species